rnacentral:rRNA from 1 species
CUGCGGGCGAUCUAUACAUGCAAGUCGAGCGGACAGAUGGGAGCUUGCUCCCGUGAUGUUAGCGGCGGACGGGUGAGUAACACGUGGGUAACCUGCCUGUAAGACUGGGAUAACUCCGGGAAACCGGGGCUAAUACCGGAUGCUUCCUUUGAACCGCAUGGUUCAAACAUAAAAGAUGGCUUCGGCUAUCACUUACAGAUGGACCCGCGGCGCAUUAGCUAGUUGGUGGGGUAAUGGCUCACCAAGGCAACGAUGCGUAGCCGACCUGAGAGGGUGAUCGGCCACACUGGGACUGAGACACGGCCCAGACUCCUACGGGAGGCAGCAGUAGGGAAUCUUCCGCAAUGGACGAAAGUCUGACGGAGCAACGCCGCGUGAGUGAUGAAGGUUUUCGGAUCGUAAAGCUCUGUUGUUAGGGAAGAACAAGUGCCGUUCUAAUAGGGCGGUACCUUGACGGUCCCUAACCAAAAGGCCACGGCUAAUUACUUGCCACCACCCGCGGUAAUACUUAGGUGGCAAGCGUUGUCCGGAAUUAUGGGGCGUAAAGGGCUCGCAGGCGGUUCCUUAAUUCUGAUGUGAAAGCCCCCGGCUCACCCGGGGAGGGUCAUGGAAAACGGGGGAACUUGAUUGCAAAAAAGGAGAUUGGAAUUCCACUUGUAGCGUUGAAAUGCGUAGAGAUGUGAAGGAACACAAUUGGCGAAGGCAACUCUUUGGUCUGUAACUGACGCUAAGAAGCGAAAGCGUGGGGAGCGAACAGGAUUAGAUACCCGGGAAGUCCACGCCGUAAACAAUAAUUGCUAAUUGUAAGGGGGUUUCCGCCCCUUAUUGCUGCAGCUAACCAUUAAGCACUCCGCCGGGGGAGUACGGUCGCAAGACUGAAACUCAAAGGGAUUUGGACGGGGGCCCCGCACAAGCGGUGGGAGCAGUGUGGUUUAAUUCGAAGCACCGGCGAAGAACCUUUACAGGUCCUUGAACAUCUCUCUGACCAUCCUAAGAGAUAGGGACGUCCCCUUCGGGGGAGCAGGAGUUGAACAGGUGGUGCAUGAUGUCGUCAGCUUCGUGUCCGUGAGAUGUGGGUAAGUUCCGCAACGGAGCGCACCAUUGGAAUCUAGUGCAGCAUCAGUCGUCAUCUAGUGACUGCGUUGACGAACCG